CUCAAGACACCGAGUUGGUCUAACGUGCCAGUUUCAGGUACUGGUCUGAAAGGAAAGGGCAUGGGUUCGAAUCCCAUUCUGGAAA
rnacentral:tRNA from 1 species